GAUGAACGCUGGCGGCGUGCCUAAUACAUGCAAGUCGAGCGAACAGACGAGGAGCUUGCUCCUCUGACGUUAGCGGCGGACGGGUGAGUAACACGUGGAUAACCUACCUAUAAGACUGGGAUAACUUCGGGAAACCGGAUCUAAUACCGGAUAACAUGUUGAACCGCAUGGUUCAACAGUGAAAGACGGUCUUUCUGUCACUUAUAGAUGGAUCCGCACCGCAUCAGCUAGUUGGUAAGGUAACGGCUUACCAAGGCAACGAUGCGUAGCCGACCUGAGAGGGUGAUCGGACACACUGGAACUGAGACACGGUACAGACUCCUACGGGAGGCAGCAGUAGGGAAUCUUCCGCAAUGGGCGAAAGCCUGACAGAGCAAUACCGCGUGAGUGAAGAAGGUCUUCGGAUCGUAAAACUCUGUUAUUAGGGAAGAACAAAUGUGUAAGUAACUAUGCACGUAUUGACGGUACCUAAUCAGAAAGCCACGGCUAACUACGUG
rnacentral:rRNA from 1 species